rnacentral:rRNA from 1 species
GAUCGAGUUGUAAUUUGAAGAAGCGUUUUCUGCGUAUUUGAUCAGCCUAAGUCCUAUUGAAUGAGGCAUCACGGAGGGUGAUAAUCCCGUCCGGUUGAUCAUUUGCGUUUUACGAUACGCUUUCUAAGAGUCAAGUUGUUUGGGAUUGCAGCUUAAAAUGGGAGGUAAAUUUCUCCAAAGGCUAAAUAACGGCGAGAGACCGAUAGCGAACAAGUACCGUGAGGGAAAGAUGAAAAGAACUAUGAAAAGAGAGUUAAACAGUACGUGAAAUUGUUGAAAGGGAAACGAUUGAAGCCAGUCGUACCUUCGGGUAAUCAGCCUUUCGGGUGCGAUUCUGUGGAGUUUGAGGAGCUUUAACACCUUCAUGCUUUGCAUAUUCGUGCUCUUGGGUGUACUUGCCCGUGUGGUUGGUUAACAUCAAUUUCGGGCACCAUAAAAUGGCUGGAGGAAUGUAGCUUCGAUCUUGUAUUGAAGUGUUAUAGCCUUCGGUAGAUGUGGUGAUCGAGAUUGAGGAUUGCAACGGAUACCUUUCGGGGCUACCUGUCUGAUCUCUGAUCGUUGCUUUGGUGCUGAAAGCGUGCUUAUAGUUAUCAAAGUCGAUGGUUAAUAGGUUAGAAUGGGUUAAAUUCGUUAAGGAUGUUGACGUAAUGGCUUUAAACGAC